rnacentral:lncRNA from 1 species
AUGCCAGAUAUCCUGUAUACCAGAUAAUCAUAUCAUGAUUCAUAACAGUAGAUAAAUUGAAGUUAUGACAAGGUAAUCAAAUAAUUUUAUGGUAUGGGGUCACCACAACAUGAGGAACUGUAUUAAAUGUUGAGAGCCACUGCUCUAUAGAGUCUUCAUAACAAUCCUACCUGGUCUUAUUUUUCCAUGGUAUUUUUGGACUACAUAUUUCUCUGUUGUGUUGAUUUAUUGACUUUUGUUAAUUUGUAUCUGUACUCUACUUUUUGUAAAGAAUCUUGUCAAAUCCUCACUUUUUGUGCUUUAAAAAUCUGUUGUUCAUGCUUAGCUUUAAAAAUUGAUGUUCGUGGGCUGGAGAGAUGGCUCAGUGGUUAAGAGCACUGACUGCUCUCCCAGAGGUCCUGAGUUCAAUUCCCAGCAACCACAUGGUGGCUCACAACCGUCUGUAAUGGGAUCUGAUGCCCUCUUCCGGUGUGUCUGAAGUGUACUCAUAUACAUAAAAUAAAUAAAUAAAUCUUUAAAA